rnacentral:tRNA from 1 species
GGGCGUGGUUCAAUGGUAGAACGGAAGCUUCCCAAGCUUUAGACGAGGGUUCGAUUCCCUUCGCCC